rnacentral:rRNA from 1 species
UACGUAGGGUGUAAGCGUUAAUCGGAAUUACUGGGCGUAAAGCGUGCGCAGGCGGUUCUAUAAGACAGAUGUGAAAUCCCCGGGCUCAACCUGGGAACUGCAUUUGUGACUGUAGAGCUGGAGUGCGGCAGAGGGGGAUGGAAUUCCGCGUGUAGCAGUGAAAUGCGUAGAUAUCUAGAGGAACGCCAAGGGUGAAGACAGGCGACUGGUUUGCAACUGACGCUCAUGGACGAAAGCGUGGGGAUCAAACGGG